rnacentral:rRNA from 1 species
UCAAGUUAUUAAGGGUGCAGGGCGGAUGCCUUGGCACUAGGAGCCGAUGAAGGACGUGAUAAGCUGCGAUAAGCUUCGGGGAGUUGCACGUAAACUUUGAUCCGAAGAUUUCCGAAUGAGGAAACUCACUUAGAGUAAUGUCUAAGUAUCAUUAAGUGAAUACAUAGCUUAAUGAGGGGAACUCAGGGAACUGAAACAUCUAAGUACCUGAAGGAAGAGAAAGAAAUUCGAUUCCGUAAGUAGCGGCGAGCGAACGCGGAUUAGCCCAAACCAAUAAAGUUUUCUUUAUUGGGGUUGCGGACAUAUCAUAACGAAGAGGUAUCGUAAUUGAAGAGGUUUGGAAAGACCCACCACAGAAGGUAAUAGUCCUGUAUGUUAAACGAGAAGACUUUAGAUAUGAUCCAGAGUACCACGGGACACGUGAAACCCUGUGGGAAGCAGGAGGGACCACCCUCCAAGGCUAAAUACUACCUAGUGACCGAUAGCGUAUAGUACCGUGAGGGAAAGGUGAAAAGAACCCCGGGAGGGGAGUGAAAUAGAACCUGAAAUCCUGCACUUACAAGCUGUGGAAGCACAUUUCUUGUGUGACCGCGUACUUUUUGUAGAACGGGCCAACGAGUUACGUUAAGUAGCAAGGUUAAGCACUUAAGGUGCGGAGCCGUAGCGAAAGCGAGUUUUAACUGAGCGUUCAGUUACUUGACGUAGACCCGAAACCGGGCGACCUACCCAUGAGCAGGAUGAAGCGAAAGUAAAAUUUCGUGGAGGUCCGAACCCACGAGCGUUGAAAAGCUCGGGGAUGACUUGUGGGUAGCGGUGAAAUUCCAAUCGAGCCCGGAGAUAGCUGGUUCUCCCCGAAAUAGCUUUAGGGCUAGCCUCAAGGUGAGAGAUACGGAGGUAGAGCACUGAAUGUCCUAGGGGGUAUUGCACCUACCGAAGACUAUCAAACUCCGAAUGCCGUCAUCUUAUACUUGGGAGUCAGACUGUGGGUGAUAAGAUUCAUAGUCGAAAGGGCAACAGCCCAGAUCGUCAGCUAAGGUCCCUAAAUGUAAGUUAAGUGGUAAAGGAUGUGGGAUUGCACAGACAACCAGGAUGUUGGCUUAGAAGCAGCCACUCAUUCAAAGAGUGCGUAAUAGCUCACUGGUCGAGUGAUCCUGCGCCGAAGAUUUCCGGGGCUAAAACUUACUACCGAAGCUACGGCAUCAGUAAUGAUGGGUAGGGGAGCUUCCCAUACGGGUUGAAGCAUGACCGUAAGGACAUGUGGACAGUAUGGGAGUGAGAAUGUUGGCAUGAGUAGCGAGAUGUGGGUGAGAAUCCCACAGGCCGUAAACCCAAGGUUUCCAGGGGAAGGUUCGUCCGCCCUGGGUUAGUCGGGACCUAAGCUGAGGCCGAAAGGCGUAGGUGAUGGACAACAGGUUGAUAUUCCUGUACUACCGAUAACCGUUUGAGAGAAGGGAUGACACAGUAGGAUAAGCUAAGCACACUGUUGGUUAUGUGUGCCCAAGCAUUGAGGCAGUCAAAGUAGGCAAAUCCGCUUUGAUAAUGCUGGGAUGUGAUGGGGAGCGAAAUUUAGUAGCGAAGUAGCUGAUUUCACACUGUCAAGAAAAGUCUCUAUCGAGGUUAAAGGUACCCGUACCGCAAACCGACACAGGUGGGUGAGGAGAGUAUCCUAAGGCCAGCGAGAGAACUGUUGUUAAGGAACUCGGCAAAAUGACCCCGUAACUUAGGGAUAAGGGGUGCCACCAUCAGGUGGCCGCAGAGAAUAGGCCCAAGCGACUGUUUACCAAAAACAUAGGUUUCUGCUAAGUCGCAAGACGAUGUAUAGGAGCUGACGCCUGCCCGGUGCUGGAAGGUUAAGGGGAUCUGUUAGAGCAAUCGAAGCAGUGAACUUAAGCCCCAGUAAACGGCGGCCGUAACUAUAACGGUCCUAAGGUAGCGAAAUUCCUUGUCGGGUAAGUUCCGACCCGCACGAAAGGCGUAACGAUUUGGGCACUGUCUCAACAACAGACUCGGUGAAAUUGUAAUUCCGGUGAAGAUGCCGGAUACCUGCGACAGGACGGAAAGACCCCAUGGAGCUUUACUGUAGCUUGACAUUGGGUCUUGGUACUACAUGUACAGGAUAGGUGGGAGGCUUUGAAACCAGGACGCCAGUUUUGGCGGAGCCAUCCUUGGGAUACCACCCUUGUAGUACUGGGACUCUAACCAUAGGCCAUGAAUCUGGUCUUGGGACACUGUCAGGUGGGCAGUUUGACUGGGGCGGUCGCCUCCCAAAAGGUAACGGAGGCGCUCAAAGGUUCUCUCAGUACGGUCGGAAAUCGUACGUAGAGUGUAAAGGCAAAAGAGAGCUUGAUUGCAAGACAUACAGGUCGAGCAAGGAUGAAAAUCGGACUUAGUGAUCCGGUGGUUCUGCGUGGAAGGGCCAUCGCUCAACGGAUAAAAGCUACCCUGGGGAUAACAGGCUUAUCUCCCCCAAGAGUCCACAUCGACGGGGAGGUUUGGCACCUCGAUGUCGGCUCAUCACAUCCUGGGGCUGUAGUAGGUCCCAAGGGUUGGGCUGUUCGCCCAUUAAAGUGGUACGCGAGCUGGGUUCAGAACGUCGUGAGACAGUUCGGUCCCUAUCCGUCGCAGGCGUAGGAAAUUUGAGAAGACCUGUCCUUAGUACGAGAGGACCGGGAUGGACGUACCUCUGGUGUACCAGUUGUCCUGCCAAGGGCAUGGCUGGGUAGCUAUGUACGGAAUGGAUAAGCGCUGAAAGCAUCUAAGCGCGAAGCCAACUUCAAGAUAAGAUUUCCCACCGCAAGGGUAAGACCCCAGAAAGACUAUCUGGUUGAUAGGUCGAAGGUGUAAGUGCAGCAAUGUAUUUAGCUUAUCGAUACUAAUAGGUCGAGGACUUGACCAA